rnacentral:rRNA from 1 species
GUGGGGAAUAUUGGACAAUGGGCGAAAGCCUGAUCCAGCCAUGCCGCGUGAGUGAUGAAGGCCUUAGGGUUGUAAAGCUCUUUCAGUAGGGAAGAUAAUGACGGUACCUACAGAAGAAGCCCCGGCUAACUUCGUGCCAGCAGCCGCGGUAAUACGAAGGGGGCUAGCGUUUUUCGGAUUUACUGGGCGUAAAGCGCACGUAGGCGGAUUGGUCAGUUAGAGGUGAAAUCCUGGAGCUCAACUCCAGAACUGCCUUUAAUACUGCCAGUCUAGAGUCCAGAAGAGGUGAGUGGAACUCCUAGUGUAGAGGUGGAAUUCGUAGAUAUUAGGAAGAACACCAGUGGCGAAGGCGGCUCACUGGUCUGGUACUGACGCUGAGGUGCGAAAGCGUGGGGAGCAAACAGGAUUAGAUACCCUUGUAGUCC